rnacentral:lncRNA from 1 species
UUUCGUGUAAACUAAUCGCAUAAGACUUGAGAAGAAAUUAAUUUUAGGUUUUGGAUGCAAGACGAAAUUAAACAUGCAAAAUAAAAUGAAUCAAUUGGCUAGAAGAAACUAUGGAUGAAUGGAGUUGUUGGGGUUUACAAUUGCAUCUUAUCCACCUUCUUAUAUCUACUCUUCUUAUUUAAUUCGCUUAUUUAUCAUAUUGCUAUGCAAACUUUCUUAGUCUACCCUAAACCCAAUCUCUUGGCAAAAAGAGCCUAUUAUUAAUUAUUGGCUUGCUAUCUCUAGCCUCCCCUAGUAACCAAUAAUGCAUGAUAAACGGAAGCAAAAUACAAUUGAUCGUCCUACCCCUAUC